rnacentral:rRNA from 1 species
UACGUAGGGGGCUAGCGUUGUCCGGAUUUAUUGGGCGUAAAGAGCGUGUAGGCGGCCAGGUAGGUCUGGUGUGAAAACUCGAGGCUUAACCUCGAGAUGUCAUCGGAAACCAUCUGGCUAGAGUCCGGAAGAGGAGAGUGGAAUUCCUGGUGUAGCGGUGAAAUGCGCAGAUAUCAGGAAGAACACCCGUGGCGAAGGCGGCUCUCUGGAACGCAACUGACGCUGAGACGCGAAAGCGUGGGGAGCAAACAGG